GACGAACGCUGGCGGUGUGCUUAACACAUGCAAGUCGAACGGAAAGGCCCUGCUUUUGUGGGGUGCUCGAGUGGCGAACGGGUGAGUAACACGUGAGUAACCUGCCCUUGACUUUGGGAUAACUUCAGGAAACUGGGGCUAAUACCGGAUAGGAGCUCCUGCUGCAUGGUGGGGGUUGGAAAGUUUCGGCGGUUUGGGAUGGACUCGCGGCUUAUCAGCUUGUUGGUGGGGUAGUGGCUUACCAAGGCUUUGACGGGUAGCCGGCCUGAGAGGGUGACCGGCCACAUUGGGACUGAGAUACGGCCCAGACUCCUACGGGAGGCAGCAGUGGGGAAUAUUGCACAAUGGGCGGAAGCCUGAUGCAGCAACGCCGCGUGCGGGAUGACGGCCUUCGGGUUGUAAACCGCUUUCGCCUGUGACGAAGCGUGAGUGACGGUAAUGGGUAAAGAAGCACCGGCUAACUACGUG
rnacentral:rRNA from 1 species